rnacentral:tRNA from 1 species
GGUGCAGUAGUCUAAGGCACUGCAUCUUAGUGGAACAAGUGGAACUGCAGUCCCUGGUUCGAAUCCAGGCUGCAUCA